CCUAGAAAAGCUUCUAGGAAGAAGAAGACGGCCCGUACCGCAAACCGACACAGGUAGUCGAGGAGAGCAUCCUAAGGUGAUCGAGCGAACUCUCGUUAAGGAACUCGGCAAAAUGACCCCGUAACCUAGGGAGAAGGGGUGCUGACCACAUGGUCAGCCGCAGUGAAUAGGCCCAGGCGACUGUUUACCAAAAACACAGGUCUCUGCUAAUUCGAAAGAAGAUGUAUAGGGGCUGACACCUGCCCGGUGCUGGA
rnacentral:rRNA from 1 species